UACGGGAGGCAGCAGUGGGGAAUUUUCCGCAAUGGGCGAAAGCCUGACGGAGCAAUACCGCGUGAGGGAGGAAGGCUCUUGGGUUGUAAACCUCUUUUCUCAGGGAAGAAGCUCUGACGGUACCUGAGGAAUCAGCAUCGGCUAACUCCGUGCCAGCAGCCGCGGUAAUACGGAGGAUGCAAGCGUUAUCCGGAAUGAUUGGGCGUAAAGCGUCCGCAGGUGGCGAUUCAAGUCUGCUGUCAAAGGUCGGGGCUCAACCCUGAACAGGCGGUGGAAACUGAACAGCUAGAGUGCGGUAGGGGUAGAGGGAAUUCCCGGUGUAGCGGUGAAAUGCGUAGAGAUCGGGAAGAACACCAGUGGCGAAAGCGCUCUACUAGGCCUGCACUGACACUCAGGGACGAAAGCUAGGGGAGCGAAUGGGAUUAGAUACCCCAGUAGUCCUAGCCNGUAAACGAUGGAUACUAGGCGUGGCUUGUAUCGACCCGAGCCGUGCCGGAGCUAACGCGUUAAGUAUCCCGCCUGGGGAGUACGCGCGCAAGCGUGAAACUCAAAAAAAUUGACGG
rnacentral:rRNA from 1 species